rnacentral:lncRNA from 1 species
GAUACGUUGCCUUAUUUAUUGAAAUUAAUUAGAAGAAAAUAAAAACAUUUCUAAAAUAAUAAAAAGAAAACUAAUAAUAAUGUUGUAAUAAUAUGUGAUCUAAAAUAUAUAUUAAAUUCGGAAUGAGUAAAUAAUAAAAAGGGUAAGAAUAUACCAAAGUCUAAUAUUAUGGGUUACUGAAAUUAAUCUCUUUUCUCCUCAGGUUGUUGAAAUGGGCCUUUGUUGGUGAUCGUCAUUGAAUCAGAUUGCCGCAAAUAAAGUCGGGUUGACCCGACUAUUUAAAAAUUUAUUUUUUUUAGACCAAAUUUUUACAUGGCCCAAAUAAAAUUCACAUAAGGAUAAAAGAUUCAAAUCAUUUCAGCCUAUAUUACAAAAUAAUUCCCACCCAACUAACUUAAUAUUUCAAACCAAAUUAAACCCAACUCACUAAUUUAAAAUAAUAAUAAUAAUAAUAAUAAUAAUAAUACAAACCAAUCCAACUCACUAACUUAAUAAACCCAACACAACCAACCCAACCCACUAACUUAACAUAUCACCCAACCCACUAAUUAACCCAAACUAAAUUUAACCCAUCAAACCUUACAUAAACCAACCCAUUAACUAAAAUAAUUUUUUUAAUACUAAACCCCCCAAACAAACAAGUCUCCAGCAGCAAACAAAGAAAGAAAGAAGAGAUCCAAGCUUCAAGCCGUCGAACCCCUCUUUCUCCUUCUAACGUGUGCGCCACCAACAGCCAUUGUAUGCGCCGUGUGAAAUCAAGCUACGGGUAGUUGAGGUUUGGUUUUUGGGGUGGCUGAUAAUUGUUUGGCUCGGGUAUUUAGAGUGGGUUUCGGUUUGGGAGCUUGGUUAUGGUGUUAAUGGUGGUUAGUCUCUGGUUGGUUGCUUGCUUGCCGGAUAUUGGGGUUUUUUUCUUGCUUAGAUUGUUGAAUGUUCCUUUUUUUUUGGUUUUUUUUUUGCUGAAAUUUUUGCUGGAAAUUUUUUUGCUCUUUUUCUCAAAUGGGAGAAUCCUCUCUUUUUUGGUGUGUUCUUUUUUUUCUCCCCCCCGGUGUUUCUACCAUUUUGCUUGUUUUUUAUGCUAUUUGCAGGUAGUGUGUGAAGGAGCAGCCACCCAUGUUUGUGGCCUGAAAAUCUGGGAAGUGGGUGCCCCAAAUCACGUAAUCUGUCUAAAAGACCAAAUCACAAAUACAGCAAAACUUCUGGGGUUAAAUAUAAUUUUUAGAAAAUUUAGGGUUAAAAUGUAAUUUAAGGAAAUUUUAAGGGUCUAACUGAAAUUUAAAAAAAGUUUAAGGGUCAAAAUAAAAUUUAGGAAAAAGUUUAGGGGUCAAAAUGCAAUUUUUAUUUUUUUUUGAAAUUUUGAAAAUUAAAUACAAACUCUAGUCGAACAAAAAUUUAGUGCUUACAUCUCUAUUUGAUUUAAAAUCAUUUUAUGAACUAGUUUCUAUGUUCUUAGGAUAAGAUCACUUAAUCUUGAUUGUGCUUAAAUAUGGUACAAGGCAUUUCAACAAUUUGAUUUAGAUAGUAGACAACAAGAGGGCUUAAACUUGCAGCUGUUCUAGUACAAAGGUAGCUUAGCUUAUGCUAUGUAGAUUAUUACAUGGGUUAUACAGGCAGGGUUGAGUGGCAGGAGCAAGGACUUGAGAGGUAUACAUGCUUGUAUAGAUAGUAGAAAAGCGACACAUUUGGUCCAUCUAUUUUUUAGCGUUAAUGAUGAAAGUAAUAGGAGGGCUUUUGACGGGGAAGAGCUACCUUCAUCAAAUCUCUAAUAGUUAUUAGGAGUAACUAAUAUUUGAAUUUUGUUUCAACUGUUUGAACAAAAAAAUAAACUGGCUUCCUUCAUGAAUCAAACCCCCUUGCUGCGUUUUUGAAAUCAUUUUGUACUGAUUAAAGAAAAUAUUUUAGCUACAAAUCAUAAGUUACAUAGAGUAACUUAACAUUGCUAUCAUAAUAAUCUAGCACAAGAUAGUGUUAAAGGUCUUCAAGAAUUCAAGUCCUCAUAAUUUACAGAUCCCACAACUGUUCAGAGGGCCAUUUUUUCAGGCAGGAGGGGGAAACAAGGAGCCUAUUUUAGACUAUCAGAUUUAUCAAUCAUGAUUUUGCAUCACUUCAUACCAAAUAAUGAUUCAAUUGAAUUUAGUAUAAAGUAAUAAAGAAACUGCUUGAAUAUAUUAUGAAGCUGCCUAUAUGUUCAAAAGGUUCAAUGUACCAAAUUAAUGAAGCAACAAAACGGGAAAUUAUUAAAUUUACUCUGACAUACCUUACAGACUCACUUGGAAGAUCUAGUAGAAUGACCCCUGUGCUUAUCUAUAAUAUAUCACUAUGUCUACGAAGCAUUAACAACUUGCUUUUCUAUGAAAGGAGGAACUAAAAUCUUAAACACAUACUACUUUGACAUUUAUUUAAUACUAUACAUAUACAAAUAACACAAAGCAGAAACCAGGACAUCCUUCGUGAAAGAAGAGAGGACAAAGUGUCUCUUAUUAUUGAUUUUUUUUAAUUUCAAAAAAGUAUGGAUUAGAGGUGAUCCAAUACUGUUAUAAAUAACUAUUCUGGUCUUGUUCAGACAUAGCACUAAACCAUAAGUCAACUUAAAUCACACAAGUAUUAAUUUUUGUGCAUUUUCUUAACCCAAGUGAUAGAAAGUGACUAAUUGAGAAACAUACCAGGUGCACAAAGAAAUCUUCAACAACAACUGUAUUACUCUUUAAUAGAAAUGCUUCGUUCCUAUUUUAAAAACAAAAUCCACAUAAAUCUGCAUGUGCAGUUGAAGAUGAUAAGGAUCCUGAUGAAGUUUUUAUCCACUCUUCACAACCGGAGCUUGAGGAUGAAUUUGUGGAAAUGGGAAAUCGAUGGAAUUCAACCGGAGCUUGAGGAUCAAGAAUCGAUGGAAUUCGCCGGCAAGUAAGAAUUUGGUGGCUUUAGUUUGAAAUUGGAUCUGGGUUCGGGCUUGGAUAAGGUUGGUGAGGAUGGUUUAGGGGUGAAAAAGAUGGAGAAGGUUGGAAGGGAAUAGGAAUCAGAAGUGAAAAAAAAAAAAGAAGAAGAAAAAUGGUCAGAUGUGAGAAAGAAGAGAAGGGCAAAGUCGAUAAAAUUUCACGCUGAAUAGGUAUUCAGUGAGGAGGCUACUGAAUGAUAAACGGUAGUUUUGCCUUGGAUAAGGCUCUAAGGAAUAAGGCUGUAAUAGCCCUUCAACCAACCAAACAAUGGAAUAGGGUUGGGCCCACUGAAUAAGGCGGUAAUGGUUUAGCAUUACAGCCAACUAAACAAG